rnacentral:lncRNA from 1 species
UCUGCUUAGAGGCGGGGCGGUCUCACCCCGAGACUCGUCCCUAAGCCCAGUCCGGGUGGCCCUGGCCUUGCGGAGGCUCCUCUCCAGGUGUCUGUCUGUCUCUCACUCCUCCCUUCUCCUGGUCCCCCUGCCUGCCUGUUGCUCCUCAUCUCUUGCCUCCCCUCUGGCUCUGCAGCCCUCACUCUUCCCUUGGGCUGUCCGACUGCUUCCUUCCUAAUGGCCUUUGGCUUCUGUCUCCUCCAACGCCCCCCAUCCCCUCUGUUCCUGGCCUUUGCUCUUGUGGCUGGGGGGCCGGAUGGUUCCGUUUGGAAUGAGGCCUUUUUGAUGACCUGCCUUCUCGGGCAGCCCCAUCUUGAUGCUACCACCCACCCCAGCCCCCUCCCUCUGCCCAGAGCCUGCGGCCAGCACUGCCCCCAUCUUCCCCAAGCUUCACCCGUGUUUCCUUCCUUCACAGGUCUGGAGAUGCCAGAGGCAGGGGUGCCUCACACCCUCCUCCCACAACUGGCUCCGGCCCUCUCUGCACAUCUGCCCUGGGCCUCGAUUGGGCUCUGGGGCCAAAGCUGCUUCACGGCCCCGGGGGCACAGGACACUGGCCUGCUCCUGCUACGCACCUGCCUCUCUGACGGCCGUGGCUUGGCUUCCCUGGCUCCGCGGGCCUAUUCCUCCCAGGUGCCCUUUUGGCCUUUGCGAGGGAGCAAGGAAUAGGCUGGAAGUUUCCAGGGUAUCUGCCUUCUGCUCGGGCUCCUGUGGUGGGCCCUCUGUGCCCAGUGCUCACACCUGCCUCCCGACCAGUGGGCCUGCUCUAGUCGUGAAGCCCAGGGUGGGCGGCGGGGCUCCCACACUCCCCAGCCCACCCUCACCCCAGCCUCUUCCCCGCAGUAGGGGCUCCUCAGAAGCUGGUCUCGCACUCCCCUCCACCCAGCUAGAGGUAGGAUAUCCCUGAAUCCUGGGCUCCCAGCCCUAAAACUCACUGCCUCCCCCAAGGGCCCCCUCCAAGGAGGGUGUGGGGGAGCCCUGAGGGCUGCCUCUCCGCCAGUCAGCCACAGAGACCCUCCUCCUUUCUCGAGGAAAAGACCUCCCCCUGAACCCCUAAAAAUGUUUACAGUCUCUGCUGGCCCCCUCCGUGUAAAUACCACGACCACCCGUGCGUCACCCAGCCCGCCCGGCCCGGCCCGGUCGCUGCCAUCUCUCUUUCUGGGAGUUUAGACAAUUUUGCCCUUGGAUUUUUUUCUCUCUUGAUUUCUCCCUUUGCUUUUGGGGGGUAACUGGGUAUUUGGGAGGAAGGGAGUGGGGAGGGCUAAAGGGGUUUAUUA